rfam:Ixodes scapularis strain Wikel colony gcontig_1108379554309, whole genome shotgun sequence.
CCCUGGUUAGCUCAGUUGGUAGAGCGCUCCACUUGUAAUGGAGAGGUCCCGGGUUCGAUACCCGGCCCAGGCG